CUGUCCUUUCCUCUUCAGACGACCUCGACAAGUUCCACAGAGAACUUCAACUGUGGUGAAUCAAGGUUUUGAUGUGUCACUGUCAGAUGCCAGUAGUGUUUUUGAUUCCAUAAAGUCGCUUAGUCAAAGUGAUGGAAGAUGGCGAUAUGAUUCUAGCAGUGCUGAAUCCAGCACUUAUGU